UACAGAGACUGCAAGCGUUAUUCGGAUUCAUUGGGCGUAAAGAGCGUGUAGGCGGCCAGAUAAGUCCGCUGUGAAAUCUCGAGGCUCAACUUCGAGCUGUCGGUGGAAACUGUCUGGCUAGAGUCCGGAAGAGGAGAAUGGAAUUCCUGGUGUAGCGGUGAAAUGCGCAGAUAUCAGGAAGAACACCCGUGGCGAAGGCGGUUCUCUGGGACGGUACUGACGCUGAGACGCGAAAGCGUGGGGAGCGAACAGG
rnacentral:rRNA from 1 species